rnacentral:tRNA from 1 species
ACCUGGCUGGUUCAGUUGUUAGAGCAUGUGACUCUUAAUCUCAAGGUUGUGAAGUCAAGCUCCACGUUAUGUA